rnacentral:rRNA from 1 species
GUCCACGCCCUAAACGAUGAUCACUCGAUGUGUGCGAUACACAGUACGCGUCUGAGCGAAAGCAUUAAGUGAUCCACCUGGGGAGUACGACCGCAAGGUUGAAACUCAAAGGAAUUGACGGGGGCCCCGCACAAGCGGAGGAGCAUGUGGUUUAAUUCGAUGAUACGCGAGGAACCUUACCAGGGCUUGAAAGUUAGUGAAGAAUGUGGAAACAUGUUCGUCAGCAAUGACACGAAACUAGGUGCUGCAUGGCUGUCGU